GCUCGGGACUAGGUUCCGGUUCUGGUCGUCCGCGUGCGUUGCGGGAGCGGGCCCCUCGGGGCCCGUUUCUGCGUUCGGACCCCGUCCCGAUCG
rnacentral:tRNA from 1 species